UACGGGGGGGGCAAGUGUUCUUCGGAAUCACUGGGCGUAAAGGGCGCGUAGGCGGGGAGGUAAGUCGGGUGUGAAAUCCCUCGGCCCAACCGAGGAACUGCGCCCGAGACUGCUUCUCUUGAGUCCCGGAGAGGAAGAUGGAAUUCCCGGUGUAGCGGUGAAAAUGUGUAGAGAUCGGGAGGAACACCGGUGGCGAAGGCGGCUCACUGGCCCCGAUACUGACGCUGAGGGCACGAAAAAG
rnacentral:rRNA from 1 species